UUAGGGGCGGCUGUUGAAGUGGUAAGCUGUAGCCUUAUUUAAGGGGUUAAUUCCUCUCCCUGGU
rnacentral:tRNA from 1 species